rnacentral:rRNA from 1 species
UACGUAGGGCGCGAGCGUUGUCCGGAAUUAUUGGGCGUAAAGCGCGCGCAGGCGGUCCUUUAAGUCUGAUGUGAAAGCCCACGGCUCAACCGUGGAGGGUCAUUGGAAACUGGGGGACUUGAGUACAGAAGAGGAAAGCGGAAUUCCACGUGUAGCAGUGAAAUGCGUAGAGAUGUGGAGGAACACCAGUGGCGAAGGCGGCUUUCUGGUCUGUAACUGACGCUGAGGCGCGAAAGCGUGGGGAGCAAACAGG